UGUGGAAUUACAUGCACGCUGCGCCUUGGCUCAUCUAUAAUAGGGAGUUUGAAGACGCUGAAAGUGACAAAGUGGAUCUAAAAUUCCAUGCAUUACAGUUUUAUCUUUUAGCAAUGUAUAUUAUGAGUAUUUCUGUAAAUUGAUGUGGCUCUCUGCAAAAUCACCGGACGUUUUGGAACUACUGAUCAUAACGCGCCAAUGUAAACUGAGAUUUUUGGAUAUAUAUAUGAACUUUACCGAACAAAACAUAAUGUAUUGUGUAACAUGAAGUCCUAUGAGUGUCAUCUGAUGAAGAUUAUCAAAGGUUAGUGAUUCACUUUAUUUCUUUCUGCUUUUUGUGACUCCUCUCUUUGGCUGGAAAAAUGGUUUUGUGUUUUUCUGUGACUUGGCUCUGACCUGACAAUUGUUUGGUGUGCGUUCGUCGUAAAGCCUUUUUGAAAUCGGACACUGUGGCUGGAUUUACAACAAGGCAUCUUUAAAAUGGUGUAAAAUACUUGUAUGUUUGAGGAAUUUUAAUUAUGGGAUUUCUGUUUUGAAUUUGGCGCCCUGCAGUUUCACUGGCUGUUGACGAGGUGGGAUGCUAGCGUCCCACAUACCCUGGUGAGGUUAACUGAAAAAUGUAAAGAUCUCCUCAAUUUAAGAAAAAGGACAAUUCAAUGGAUACCAAUCAACAAAGAGGUACACAGAUGAGGAGGCAUACAAAGAUAUGUCAAUCGGUAAUGGUGUGUACCAUCCUCCUCCCUUACCACUUCAAUGAAAAUCCCAUAAGCCUCUACAUUAUGGACAAGACACUCCCUACACCGCUGAUUAAUUAAUAUAACAGGAAACCUGUUUGCUCAACAUGCAGUGCAAAAUCAUUCUGUCUAUGGAUACAGAGAACAUCAACACAUUAACAUCAACACGCCAGAGGAUAAACCCAUUGGACUGAGAAUUUACCUCAUAUUUAGAUUUCUUUAUUCUACUUUGCCACUAAAAUCAAAAU